GGAGGCGUGGCCGAGUGGUUUAAGGCAGCAGUCUUGAAAACUGCCGUAGGGGUGACUCUACCGUGAGUUCGAAUCUCACCGCCUCCGCCA
rnacentral:tRNA from 1 species